rnacentral:rRNA from 1 species
UACGGAGGGUGCAAGCGUUAUCCGGAUUCACUGGGUUUAAAGGGUGCGUAGGCGGGUAGGUAAGUCAGUGGUGAAAUCUCCAAGCUUAACUUGGAAACUGCCGUUGAUACUAUCUAUCUUGAAUAUCGUGGAGGUGAGCGGAAUAUGUCAUGUAGCGGUGAAAUGCAUAGAUAUGUCACAGAACACCAAUUGCGAAGGCAGCUUACUAAGCUAUGAUUGACGCUGAGGCACGAAAGCGUGGGGAUCAAACAGG